rnacentral:rRNA from 1 species
CCUACGGGAGGCAGCAGUGGGGAAUAUUGGACAAUGGGGGGAACCCUGAUCCAGCGACGCCGCGUGAGGGAAGAAGUAUUUCGGUAUGUAAAGCUCUAUCAGCAGGGAAGAAAGGAAUGACGGUACCUGACUAAGAAGCCCCGGCUAACUACGUGCCAGCAGCCGCGGGAAGACGUAGGGGGCAAGCGUUAUCCGGAUUUACUGGGUGUAAAGGGAGCGUAGACGGUUACGCAAGUCUGGAGUGAAAGGCGGGGGCCCAACCCCCGGACUGCUUGGGAAACUGUAUAACUGGAGUGCAGGAGAGGUAAGUGGAAUUCCUAGUGUAGCGGUGAAAUGCGUAGAUAUUAGGAGGAACACCAGUGGCGAAGGCGGCUUACUGGACUGUAACUGACGUUGAGGCUCGAAAGCGUGGGGAGCAAACAGGAUUAGAUACCCCAGUAGUC